rnacentral:rRNA from 1 species
GUGUCAGCAGCCGCGGUAAUACGUAGGGGGCGAGCGUUACCCGGAAUUACUGGGCGUAAAGGGGGCGUAGGCGGCCCGGCAAGUCAAGUGUGAAAUCCGGCGGCUCAACCGCUGGGCUGCGCUUGAAACUGCCGGGCUUGAGUGCAGCAGAGGGAGACGGAAUUGCCGGUGUAGGGGUGAAAUUCGUAGAUAUCGGCAAGAACGCCGGUGGGGAAGCCGGUCUCCUGGGCUGAGCCUGACGCUGAGGCACGAAAGCUAGGGGAGCGAACGGGAUUAGAUACCCCGGGAGUCCUAGCCGUAAACGAUGCUCACGAGGUGUGGGGCGCACAGGCGCUCUGUGCUGAAGCUAACGCGUUAAGUGAGCCGCCUGGGGAGUAUGCCCGCAAGGGUGAAACUCAAAGGAAUUGGCGGGG